CAGACCACAAAACCGUCAAUCCGAAACUCUGCUCGAGCUUGUCCUCCAUUUUUUACAUAACAAUAUGCAAGACAAAGGCAGAAAACAUCGUUGCUUACUCCAGUUGAGCUUUUUUUUUCAAAAGAACAGCGACAUUACCAAACGGAGAGGGUUGACUCUCGCGAUUGUGUAGGUUGUCGAACAUUUUCAUCUCUACAAUCUCUAUUCUCGACGAGACGCAAAUGGCAAGACUAGAUCUGAGAGAGAAUCGCUCAAUCGUGAAAAUUGAAAACAUAACCUACUCUAUCAUCUGUGAUUCCCAGACAAAGCUGCUCACAAUAACACUCAGCAGCUGCAAUGGAUAACUUUUUUGAUGCCUUUUUGAGGUUUAAUAUAACCAGGAACAUUGAAUAAGGGAGCACCGGAAAUACAAAAAUAAUAAUGAAACCUCCAGAGGCGGAAAAGGAACAACAUUAUUUUGCAGCAUUGGUUGGACCGUUGGAUUAAGAAUUUCGCUAAUUUAGCAGUUGCCGUUCAAAAAUAAUUCAAAAUCGGUUUUUCAGUUACUUGUGGGAAUUACACCGUUUUAUACGUAAAGUAAUUAACAUCGUAUAUUUGUGCGAGAGUUUAAAUUUUCAAAAUAAAAAUGAAUAUAGGAUGUUAAUAUCGCGUGCAAAGUCGUAAUUUUCAUUUAAAGUACCCUCAAAAUGCUAAGAGCAAAUUCCUUUACUUAAUUUCUUGUUCGUUUAUGCUAUUUAAAUAAAUCUUAUAUCAUGAAACUUACUGCAAAUGUAACGAGCGAGUCAGAAUGUUUUUGAGGCGACAUUAAUUGGUCGUGAAAGUUGUGCCAUGGCAAUGGAACUUUGCUAUGAUAUUUUCAUAACUGGCAAUUGUUCAACGCAUGUUACAGUUUAUGCAAUAAAUUACUAUAGUAUUUUGAUACCAUGUGUUUUCAUAUAACCUUAGACUUGUGUGUGUUUAAAUGUACAAUCAGUGUGUUAAAUAGCUAUGUCGGAUGGGUAUAGAAAAUAUUUGAGAUCACGACAUAGAAUUACGGUCAAAAUAACAAUUUAAUAAUUUCCGUGUGUAUUUAAUAAAGUUCUUUCAAGUUUCAAUACUUGUAUGCUAA